rnacentral:rRNA from 2 species
UGUUUCGGCUAGGGGGCCAUCCCGGCUUACCAACCCGAUGCAAACUGCGAAUACCGGAGAAUGUUAUCACGGGAGACACACGGCGGGUGCUAACGUCCGUCGUGAAGAGGGAAACAACCCAGACCGCCAGCUAAGGUCCCAAAGUCAUGGUUAAGUGGGAAACGAUGUGGGAAGGCCCAGACAGCCAGGAUGUUGGCUUAGAAGCAGCCAUCAUUUAAAGAAAGCGUAAUAGCUCACUGGUCGAGUCGGCCUGCGCGGAAGAUGUAACGGGGCUAAACCAUGCACCGAAGCUGCGGCAGCGACACUCAGGUGUUGUUGGGUAGGGGAGCGUUCUGUAAGCCUGUGAAGGUGGCCUGUGAGGG